UCUGGGUCAACCUCCCACCCGUGUUUAUUUUACCUUGUUGCUUCGGCGGGCCCGCCUUAACUGGCCGCCGGGGGGCUUACGCCCCCGGGCCCGCGCCCGCCGAAGACACCCUCGAACUCUGUCUGAAGAUUGUAGUCUGAGUGAAAAUAUAAAUUAUUUAAAACUUUCAACAACGGAUCUCUUGGUUCCGGCAUCGAUGAAGAACGCAGCGAAAUGCGAUACGUAAUGUGAAUUGCAAAUUCAGUGAAUCAUCGAGUCUUUGAACGCACAUUGCGCCCCCUGGUAUUCCGGGGGGCAUGCCUGUCCGAGCGUCAUUUCUGCCCUCAAGCACGGCUUGUGUGUUGGGCCCCGUCCUCCGAUCCCGGGGGACGGGCCCGAAAGGCAGCGGCGGCACCGCGUCCGGUCCUCGAGCGUAUGGGGCUUUGUCACCCGCUCUGUAGGCCCGGCCGGCGCUUGCCGAUCAACCCAAAUUUUUAUCCAGGUUGACCUCGGAUCAGGUAGGGAUACCCGCUGAACUUAAGCAUAUCAAUAA
rnacentral:rRNA from 1 species